rnacentral:rRNA from 1 species
UAGGGAAUCUUCGGCAAUGGACGAAAGUCUGACCGAGCAACGCCGCGUGAGUGAAGAAGGUUUUCGGAUCGUAAAACUCUGUUGUUAGAGAAGAACAAGGACGUUAGUAACUGAACGUCCCCUGACGGUAUCUAACCAGAAAGCCACGGCUAACUACGUGCCAGCAGCCGCGGUAAUACGUAGGUGGCAAGCGUUGUCCGGAUUUAUUGGGCGUAAAGCGAGCGCAGGCGGUUUCUUAAGUCUGAUGUGAAAGCCCCCGGCUCAACCGGGGAGGGUCAUUGGAAACUGGGAGACUUUAGUGCAGAAGAGGAGAGUGGAAUUCCAUGUGUAGCGAUGAAAUGCGUAGAUAUAUGGAGGAACACCAGUGGCGAAGGCGGCUCUCUAGUCUGUAACUGACGCUGAGGCUAGAAGGCGUGGGGAGCAAACAGG